GACUCCUACGGGGCGCAGCAGUAGGGAAUUUUCGUCAAUGGGCGCAAGCCUGAACGAGCAAUGCCGCGUGAACGGGGAGGGUCUUCGGAUCGUAAAGUUCUGUUGAAGGGGAAAAAGAGCGGAGAGAGGAAAUGAACUCCGAUUGAUAUUACCCUUCGAGGAAGUCACGGCUAACUACGUGCCAGCAGCCGCGGUAAUACGUAGGUGGCGAGCGUUAUCCGGAAUGAUUGGGCGUAAAGGGUGCGUAGGCGGCCUGCUAAGUCUGGAGUGAAAGGUACCGGCUCAACCGGUACAGGCUCGGGAAA
rnacentral:rRNA from 1 species